rnacentral:lncRNA from 1 species
GCUUUCCAAUCAGCACGUCCUGCGCGCAGAGGUCUAUCUUCCACUGGGGCCCCCGCUUGUCUCUAGCUCCCGUCAAAUUGAUUUCUAGGUCUCAUGCUCCCAACACAAUCUGUUUUCAGAGCCAUAUCCGCACAAACUCGAAUCUCAAACUCUUUGAGCUUGUUGUGAAGGAAAACCAAGUUGACAUUCUGCUCACGAAACCUUAUCCCGUAGCAAAGAGUUUUUACACUACCGUUAUGUAACUGUGUAAAGCUGCUCCACCCCCCUUCCUACUUUUUGA